UCGAUGCAAUUUUUAUAUCACCGUGAUCACCAUUCUUUUCUCUACAGGUUGACCGGAGCCGAAUCACCAAAACACGAACCUCGUCGGAGAGCCGCUGCACCCGAGAGCGCCGCCGCCGGUAAGCUCCGUUUUUCCGUGAUUUUUUUGCCCCCCGAGGGCCCUAAGGUUGUUUUCUGACAAGGACCAAUGCGAGCGUGGCCGAAUUCGGCCGAAAACGGCCGAAAACAGCCAAC
rnacentral:lncRNA from 1 species